AGAAUCGGUCCCGGCUAGUCAACUAGCUUCCGAGGAACAUCUGCCUUCUGUGAAGGUGUGCGUCGAAGAGUCGUCCUCAGCCGUGCUGCAGCAGUGAGCCUCUCCCUCGGAGUGGUGCGAAGCUUUCGUCCAUUUGGUCGUCCGUUCCAAAUUCCCCUCAUCAUGCGCCCCGGCGAAUCUCCUGCCAUUCCCCAACGAAAGGCGACUUUCGAAGCCGAAAGCCGCAAGAUGUCCGGCUUCAAGUCGUUCUCUAAGGACCCCCAGUCCCCUUUCAAGAACAACAGCUCCACCGACCAGAAGAAGACCGAGCAACCACGGAACCCCUGGGGUCCCACCUUCAAGGACCGCCAGCACUUCGUGGACAUGCAUUUCAACUGAACUGAAUCUUCGGGGCAGGGGCCCAACACCUCCUAUUUAACGAGGCCCUAGUGCUGCCCUCACUACGUCAUCCAUAGUAGGCCAACGCGGAGCACCGAUUAGACAGAAGUGUUAUGUCUCCGUCCGGCUGAGCCUCGUGUCCUCACUGAUGGUACACUGGUCCCUGCCGAACACUGACCCAGCACUCACUUUCAAUCUGUACUCCGCCCUGGCCUCCGUUUGGUGACAGAAUUCAGCACCAAGGCCUCGUUACCUAGGACGCGAUGGCGGGAGGCGCUUCCCGAGCCCCGCACCCCUCUUCCGACUUCCGUUAGGGGCUUCGCAAAUGAGACGCAUCGCUUUCGCAGCACCUGUAGGGAGGUGCCUUCUGUACCCGUAUUUGCUACGAGCUUGCCGCACUGGUGACGAUGAUUACUUUGAUGUCAUAUUUACAAGUUAUACUUGUGUCUGUAGAAUCUCUGUGUAGGUGUUUUCUAAACAAAUAUAUGGUACUUAUAUACCGUUAAUGAACAAAGAUAUUGUAUAUCCUAACUUUUUUUUUCGUUUCUACUUCUGUUUAAUUUACAAUAAAUUCGGCCUAGUGCCUUCACUGCCAUA